UACAGAGGCCUCGAGCGUUAGGCGGAAUCACUGGGCUUAAAGCGUGUGUAGGCGGACUUCUAAGUACCUUGUGAAAUCCCACGGCUCACCCGUGGAACUGCUUGGUAUACUGGUCGUCUUGAGCCUUCUAGGGGCGAGUGGAACAAAUGGUGGAGCGGUGAAAUGCGUAGAUAUCAAGUGGAACACCAGUGGCGAAGGCGAGUCUCUGGACAUUUCCUGACGCUGAGGCACGAAAGCCAGGGGAGCAAACGGG
rnacentral:rRNA from 1 species